UUCCCAUGUUAAACGCCUGUUCCACUUUUCGAUUUACACCCUGUACAAAGAGAGGGAAAGACUGAUAUGUAUCGUAUUAUGACUCUUACCGGUGUAUUCAUUUAACAUUAAUUAGCCAAAUCUUAGUGAGGUUUUAGUUACCGCAAUAAUUGUCGAUCUACUAGAAACAAAAAUGUUCUGUCGAUUGGUAAUUGGAAAUCCGUAACUAUCAGUAAGUAAUUUUAUUUGCAUUUCAAAGUUUAUCUACAAAUCGCCAGUAUCGUAAAUUUGGAUUGUCGAAAUCGGAACCCCUUGUACAGAAUCAGAUGUCCCCUAAUAUGAAAUUUACUAUUUUCCCAUUAGUCAGGGUCGGUUUAUCAGAUUACCGUUAAUCUGACAGUUUCCAUGGAAAAAAUUGGCUUUAGGAGGUUAUCUAUCAGAUAAAUUUAACGAACACAUGAAAACCGGCCCCCAAAGCUACCAUUCGAGUGCAAUGCCCAUCCAGUGAAUAUUAACAUACAUUUGGCGCCCACAAUCGCAGAACCCAAAGUUCAUCGAAAUCGAAACAGCUAGUCCGCCAGGUUCAGAACCAGUUCCUUGAAAUCGUACCUUUGUCGUCCGUUCGUUCGAUGUAACUGAACGGUAGGUUCUAGAGCAGGGGUCGGGAAAUUAUGACAUUUUAGAAAACACGCGGAGGAGCAGAGCGAAAUAUACUGUACCCAUCUUACUCUAAAUUUGCAGCCGAAUAUUUCCGACAUAGUAAAUACUCAAUGUUAGUUUAAUCAUCAAAUGUAUACAUGCAAAAAUUCGUCUUAAGUGUUUCAUUUAAUAAAUGUAUUUUCACAUACUGAUUUUUUUAUUAAUUAUUUGUUUAAACAAAACUUAGUGACACGCUUAAAGGUAUUUUUUUAAUUGGUUAAAAAAAUGACACGUUGAAACUAUGGUGGUGCCGACCCCUGUUCUAGAGGCUUGCAACUUGGUAUAUAGGUGUGAUUGUGAAUACAUUGUUGCCAACCAUGUCAUACGAAAUAAAUGAUCGCAUGCAAACAGCUGUGUUUUGUAAAACUUUUAUGUACAGAAUUUCAAUAGAGUGUCAUUUUCACAGAAUUACAUAUUUGGUACCAUUACUGUGUGAUAUCAUAACACAUAUGUCACGCAUAGAUUUGGGUGAUCAAAAGACGGAUUUUUUUGCUUACAUUUUUUUGUAUUUGUUUAACGGAUUGUCAUCAAGAAAAAGUAAAAAAAUGAGUACUGUUUUAUUCAACGGUCAUAAGGCGUCCCAGUGCAAAGUACAAAUUAGCCGUUGGUCAAACAUUACACAAUGGAGAUGCGCAGCCUCGUCUAGCAUUUUCUAGGUUUCUAGGUGAUGUCUACGUCACAGCACAACGAAAACCGAUACAUUAACAGCCAAACGCUACUCGAUUCUUUAAGAAACUUAAUACCAGGUUUCCUAGACGAUGUGGACUUGGCGACAAGAAAAACUUGAUCUGCUACCAAUACGAUGGCGCACCACCAUACAGCACCGUUCUGCCUCAGAAUUUCAGAAUAAAUGGAUUGGACGGAACGACGAGCUGUUGUCAAUGUAUUUGUCAUGGGUAGCAGUUUGAAUAGCGGGUGUGCUGCGGCGGGUAGGGAGUGAGGUUGAUAGAGGCUCGAAGAGCCCAAAGAGCGUCUCCAUUUUUCUUCUCUUCCACCCUAAUCCAGCAUUUAUGUUCUGCUCUGUUCUUUCUACAUUCCCAUAUCAGGUGGUGAAUAUUUUCGUCUUUAUCUCUACAUAGUCUGUAUUUCUUUUCUUCUGGCUUGAUGUUUUUCUUUCCCUCCCUUACCUAUUUCGGAACCCUCCCCGUUAUUAGCUACUUGUACCUUCUGUGUCCUCGUGAAUCCUCGAUUUUGUCUCUGCUGCUGCAGCUGUAUAUAGGUUUUUAAGUUGUUCCAUCCCUUCCUCUAUUUCUCUCCUUUCGACCUUAGCUGCUCCGUAUCAGUUUCUUUCAUAAUAUUUGUUCCCCCUAAUUUCCUUUUGUGCUUAUCCUUGUUGACAAACAUUCUUUCACCAAUCCACUUUCUCUCCUUUCCUGGAAUCUUACAGCUAUGCGCCCCAACGCUAACCUUAUCUUUUUUCAAUUCUUUCUCAGUACAGUCUGGCCAAAUAAGAAUGCGAGGUACUGUAUCUGCGAACCUGUCCAUCGUGGAGGCUUGCGG